GAUCUUCAUCCGUCAUCCUGAGCAAUUGGGGCGGCGAUGCGGGCGAGCUUCACGAUAGUGGGGAGGACCAGGCCGCGGUGAAGGCAGGUCAUGCGCUCCUCACGCUCCACGAACGGAACCUGCGCACGGAGGCGGUAGCGCGGGGUGGCAGCCGGCAAUGAGGCGGCCGCGCUACGUGACGAGCUACGGGUCCCCCUUUGUGAUGUUUUGGCAUCGCUCCUUCAUCGCACAUCCUCAGGCGAUGGCGGUGGUGUCGCUGAUGGCGGCGAGGACAGCAUGUGGCAGCUCCCGAAGCAUGAACACGACCGCACCUCGGGCCUGCCGUCUGCCAAGAUAUGGCUCUGGCCGAUUGACAAUGGAGGUUUGGGAUCCUUCCUCUCAGCACCCACUCCUGGAAGAAUCAGCGGUGCGCCACGCCGAUUGAACCCCGUCGAGAUCACUCGCCAAGAUUGCUAUUCUGAAGUUUAUUGUAAAGAAAGUGAAG